CCGGCAGCAGCGGGGCCUCGGCGGCGGAGCGCUCUGCGGGACGGGGCCGCCCCGCCUCGCCAGCGCCCCACGGCCGCCGCUGCCCGGGGCACGGAGCGAGCGGGGCGCCUCCCGCGGCGGGCCGGGGCGGGGCGGGGGCUGCGGGCCCGCACCGCCCCGCCGGGCCGGGCCGGCCGGGGGAAGGCGAAAGUUGGCCAUAGAUAACACAGUUUUAUUUUGGACGUUUUUAUGUGAAGGACACCGAUUCUCAUAACUAAGCUUGCAGAACUCCAACAAUAAAAGGUAUCCUGUACUGAAAAAAAAGUAAUACAUUUCACAGAAUGGAAAAUUUGGAGAAAUUGCCGUAUCCUUGACUCGACAAAAGACUAAGGCAUCUGGCUAACUUCAGGCACGUGUCAGUGGGACAACUUAGUGUACCAGGGAUCAAUAACAUGCUCAAGCAAUUUGUUGCAUCAAGGAUCUCUUCCUGAGAUCCAGCUCCUCACCUGUAAAUCGAAGACUUCCAUGUUUCACCAGGACACUGGAGGAUUAUUUAAUAACAGUACGAUUUUCAAACAUUAUGAUGAUGGAAGAUACAGAAAAAAUUGUAACAAUGUGAAAGUUAUGAGUCAGAUAGAAUGGUGACAGGUGCUCUCUACAAAAUAAUUAGAUGCUCAUCUCCUCUGGGAUAACAUUCACUUCUCUGAAUAUUAUAGGAAAGGAGAAAUGACCAAGAUUACACAGCGGCAGGACUGCUGAUGUAGCUGCUCCCUUCCUAAAACGUAUUUAUGCAAUUGAUACUUCAGAAAUUGCAUCCCUGAAAAGCAUUGCAGGCUGAGAAAAAUUUAAAUAUGAAGGAUUAAUGUGCCUAGAGAUAUCUAACAAAAUAGGUUGUUCCUUAAUAUUUUGAUAUGAUUUUCUUUAAAAACAAGUCAGAAGUUAUAUGCAGUUCGUAAGAAAGAUGAAAUUGCAUCCCAGUUACACACUUACAGUUGAGACAAGCCAUCUUCCUUCCAUUCCAAAGAAGUGCGUGCUCCUCCGAGAUGCUGCAGGCAGAUUUACUUGGAAGAACCUCAUUUCCUUGGUGACACGUUGCGAAGCUGCCUGUUAGAACAGUAACCCGGCUGAUCAGUUUGCCUCCGUUACUGCGAGAUGCAUCGGUUUGGGACCUCUCUUCCUGGUUGUACGCUCCCCUCAGCAAAAGUCACUGACCUUCUUGCAGAACUAAUUAGUUCCCGAGGUGGGAGAAGUGUGCAGGCACUCCUUAGCAUCCUGGGCUCCACUUCCUCCGCAGGAGACUCCCGUGCCCGAGUUCUGCAGAAGCGAAUUUUGAGCUGCCUGACCUCAGGGCUAUACGGACGAAGAAACUAUUUAUUCCCGCACUGGAAUUGACUUGUGGGUCACAGUUUCUUUUUAACAUUCUCACCUAAGCAGAAAGUGCUUUGAGAAUGCUUCCAUUUUCUUUUCUGUCUCAUUGGACAUCAGUGGGCACCGUGUUUUCAUGAGAACUGUCUGUUAGUCACCGCACUGUACCCUACUCCAUCAGGCUCGACCAUAUAGAGAGACAACACAUCCAACUCAAAUUCACCACCUUGCUAGAUUCACCAGCAAUAUAUAAGCUCAAGGUGGAGACUCAGAUAUGAAGUUUCACUAAUCUAGGAUUCUACAUACAAUGUUUAUAUGUAGGGAAAAAAAUGGGACUUUCAGAAAAUAUUGAUGUGCCUUCAUCCCUUACCAGCUACUAGUUGACUGAGUGUGUAUGUUGGAGUUUGGGCUACAAAACUGAUUUUGAGAUGAACUUCAAAGUGAUGCUUAAAUAUUAAAUUCCACAUAUUCCCGCAAGAUGCUUUGACCAGCAUUUGCUAGCGCACGUGAAUUCUGGACAUGUAAUAAAAGGUCUUGCUUUGCCCACACUUUUCACAUUUGAUACUAUCAGAAAAGGAAAAAAAAGCUCAAGAAUAAUCAUCUGACAGUUAAUAUGUUGAAGGAUCCAUCUUUUCCAUCAAUGAUGGAACACUACUUUCUGUAAUUUUACAUUUGAAACAAAUCUGCAUUUUAGAUUAAGUUCCCUUGUAGCUCUGGUAACAUAUUGACUUUUGCUGUCACUGUGCUUGUGUACGUGCUCUUUGUCAUAGCCACAUAUGCCACCGGCAGCAUUUGAACAAUACAUAAAUUCAACAUAAUUUCUUUGAUACUUAGGGACAUAAAAGGUACAUGAGGUUUUGCCACAUCGUGUUUCUUUUUAGAAGUGUGAACAACAGAAUUAAAAAUAAUGAGUAUACUGCUCUAAACGAAAAGGUUUAUGGAAAGGAAAGAAGUCCACUACCUGCCCAAAGUAUUCUGAAAAGUCAUGAAUAGUAAUUCACACUGCAUAGUAAUUCAGUGCAAUUCUAAUGUAGCAUUACACUAGCAAAUUAACUGAAAAGGAAAAUAAAGUGAGAAAAUUUGUUUAGCGCUGUAGUAGCACCCCUGUUUUAGCCUGGUAGGCACUUUAGCGCUUUACUGAAGUCUAUAAAAGGUAAGUAAAUGAUCAUCUACUGUUUUCUACAAAGUCAGGUUGGCUGAUUAGGUGUUGAAAAUCUGAGAGUAUGGGAAUAUUUGUGGUUAAUCCUAAUGGUUGCUCAGAAAUUAGUAUAUAUGACCAGGACUUCCCUUGAAGGUAGCCAGAUAAUCAGACUGCAAGAAGGGUAAUCACUACUUUGCUCAUGAAAUUAAAAAAGGACAUGAACUUUGCAAUAUCUAUUACAGCCUUCUCCCCCAAAAGAGGACAUCAUUACAUUUACUAUAAAUUCUAAAAAAAUACAUAUUUUACAAUCAAUGUGUAAAGUUCUAGCACUAAAUAUUUAAAGCAAAAAUAUUUGCCUUGUUCCAUGGAGCGUCACAUGAGUUUCACAGCUAGUCCUGGACAACUGAGUUUUGCGUAGCCUUAAAUACAACAGAACCUGAGUAAAGUGUUCUUUUAUAAUAAAAACAAAAUAAACUUCAGCUUCUGUUUUAUAUGCCAGUUGCGAUUCUUUGUAGUAAUUCCUUCCACAUCUGCUCAGCAGCUUUCAGGUUUAGAAAAGCAGUAUCUCCCAAAUUCCUUUCAUCACAAUAUCCGUAUGCUGUGUUUCAUAGACACAUUGGUACACCCUAACACUGAGGCACUAAUUACAACUUGGAAUCACAUUCUAUGGCUAAAAAAAAUAAAUACCUGUGGUUAUGAGGCAUCUAACGAUGAAAAUCCCAAACAACCUAGCCAAAAAUUCCUCCAAGUGUGAUAACAUACCAACGUAAGUAUGCCUGAAAUUAUCACAAAAUUUGUAAAAAUAAAAUUAAGGGAAGUAAAAAAAAGUAAAGAAUAAAACUAAACACAAGCACCAUCAGACUCUAAACUAAUGACCUAAGACCACACGCCGAAAUGUUGCCAUCCAGAUUAUGACAGCAGAACUGUUGCUGAAGAACCGAGGUGUUUGGGAAAGGGGCUGGUAUGGGAAGAGCGUGAUAAACCAUUUGCCCAGAACAUAAGUUUCUAGGAUUUCUGAAGAUAGUACAGUGUU